AGCCUUAUAGUCAAAAUUAUGACAUCAAAUUGCAAAUUUGAAGGUGGAAUUUCCUAAGGCUU
rnacentral:tRNA from 1 species